rnacentral:rRNA from 1 species
GACGUAGGGUGCGAGCGUUGUCCGGAUUUAUUGGGCGUAAAGAGCUCGUAGGCGGUCCGUCACGUCGGCUGUGAAAACCCGGGGCUCAACUCCGGGCCUGCAGUCGAUACGGGCGGACUAGAGUACUGCAGGGGAGACUGGAAUUCCUGGUGUAGCGGUGAAAUGCGCAGAUAUCAGGAGGAACACCGGUGGCGAAGGCGGGUCUCUGGGCAGUAACUGACGCUGAGGAGCGAAAGCGUGGGGAGCGAACAGG